rnacentral:rRNA from 1 species
AUUGAACGCUGGCGGCAGGCUUAACACAUGCAAGUCGAGCGGGGGAGGUUGCUUCGGUAACUGACCUAGCGGCGGACGGGUGAGUAAUGCUUAGGAAUCUGCCAUUUAGUGGGGGACAACAUUCCGAAAGGAAUGCUAAUACCGCAUACGUCCUACGGGAGAAAGCAGGGGAUCUUCGGACCUUGCGCUAAAUGAUGGGCCUAAGUCGGAUUAGCUAGUUGGUGGGGUAAAGGCCUACCAAGGCGACGAUCUGUAGCGGGUCUGAGAGGAUGAUCCGCCACACUGGGACUGAGACACGGCCCAGACUCCUACGGGAGGCAGCAGUGGGGAAUAUUGGACAAUGGGCGGAAGCCUGAUCCAGCCAUGCCGCGUGUGUGAAGAAGGCCCUAUGGUUGUAAAGCACUUUAAGCGAGGAGGAGGCUACCUAGAUUAAUACUCUAGGAUAGUGGACGUUACUCGCAGAAUAAGCACCGGCUAACUCUGUGCCAGCAGCCGCCGUAACAC